GAUGAACGCUAGCUACAGGCUUAACACAUGCAAGUCGAGGGGCAGCAUGUCGGUUGCUUGCAACCGAUGAUGGCGACCGGCGCACGGGUGAGUAACGCGUAUCCAACCUACCCUUGUCCAUCGGAUAACCCGUCGAAAGGCGGCCUAAUACGAUAUGCGGUUCACAGCAGGCAUCUAACGUGAACGAAAUGUGAAGGAGAAGGAUGGGGAUGCGUCUGAUUAGCUUGUUGGCGGGGUAACGGCCCACCAAGGCGACGAUCAGUAGGGGUUCUGAGAGGAAGGUCCCCCACAUUGGAACUGAGACACGGUCCAAACUCCUACGGGAGGCAGCAGUGAGGAAUAUUGGUCAAUGGACGAGAGUCUGAACCAGCCAAGUAGCGUGCAGGAUGACGGCCCUAUGGGUUGUAAACUGCUUUUAUAGGGGGAUAAAGUGUGCCACGUGUGGCAUAUUGCAGGUACCCUAUGAAUAAGGACCGGCUAAUUCCGUGCCAGCAGCCGCGGUAAUACGGAAGGUCCGGGCGUUAUCCGGAUUUAUUGGGUUUAAAGGGAGCGUAGGCCGUCUUAUAAGCGUGUUGUGAAAUGUCGGGGCUCAACCUGGGCAUUGCAGCGCGAACUGUGAGACUUGAGUGCGCAGGAAGUAGGCGGAAUUCGUCGUGUAGCGGUGAAAUGCUUAGAUAUGACGAAGAACUCCGAUUGCGAAGGCAGCCUGCUGUAGCGCAACUGACGCUGAAGCUCGAAAGCGUGGGUAUCGAACAGG
rnacentral:rRNA from 1 species